rnacentral:lncRNA from 1 species
UUUAAUUGUUCUUGUUGCAUUUUCAGCCAUUCAAAACUUGAAGAAUCUAUUUUGCAACAUUCUUUGGGAUCAAGAAACGACCUUAAUUCAGAAUUUUCCAUCUUUCUUGCCGCCCAAGUUUCCUAUUUCUACUUCAAUUUGGUUUUCUUGGUCUGUUGAGUUUAAUUUUUUUGUUUUUUGUUUUCGUUUCAGCCCAAGUA